AAGAAAAGCUGGAAUGCCGUUAAAACAACACCCUGUCAUCUUUCAAUCAGUCCUUAGCUGAAGUUAAAAUCCCACUCAUUCUGCAUGAUCCAGCCUCUGUAGCAUAGAGUGAGUAGCCCCUUAACAAGAACCAAAAUGGAGGGUACGGAUGAGGCUCAGAUCGUCACCACCUGGAGAAUAGAGACAGUGACUGAGUCACCAGGAAAUCUGUCCCCUGCUCAUCCCAGAAUCCCCGAGCUUUGACUUUUUAAGAGAACAUGUGACAGAUAAUGCCAUCUGAGAAGCUUAGGCAACUCAGUCAUCAAUGUGUCCUCGAGAAGAGCAUAUCCCCAAAUUGGAAAAUAAUCCUUCAGGGCAUCUGAACAUAACCACAUUUGGCUUACUUUGUGAAGCAGUUGUCUGAAUAGAAUAAGACUGGCUUGGAACGAGAUUCACAGAGCAACCAAAUAAAGAUGAUUGAGUGAAUGGCUAAAGAAAUAAAUAUGUUCGAAUCUGUGGAUUGCCUCCUUUACUGUAUGUUUUCCACUGAGAUGAAGAUUUUGGUCAUUUCCUCAUUCAUGUUCCUGCUUUUCAAAACCCAAGCAAGAAAGGAAACUUCUACAGUGACUUUCUCAUUAUGAAAUCUUAGCAUUCACUAGUCGGCCAUAAUGGAAAACCAGCCAAAUGGACACAUAUACACUGGUCUGUACCCGCAGAGAAAGAAAUGCAAAUCUCUGUGAUCAGAAAACUAUCCUAUCUUGUACAUUGUUAAAAGUCUGCCUCCAAAAAGUUUACUUCUGGAAUACUGUAAUUGAAUAGAAUCAGGGAUCCUACCUGUGUCCUUCAACUUUCACAUCUUGUCUACUCAAGUAAGGGUUGAAUUUGCAUGACUAUAUCUAAGGUUCGAGGGCUUACCUGUUGGCAGUAGACCCAGUAGUCUAUGAAUGGAAAUGGGCAAACCUGUGACCUCCCAAAACUUUAAUAUGAAAGUUUUGUUUGUGUAUACUCAUGGCAUUAUUCUUUUAAUAAAGAGAUAAUCUAUAUAGUUUUCUUUUUUAAAAGGUGAUAAUCAAGAUGUGGAAAACAGAAGCACUUGGAAUGGUCACUUCUGA
rnacentral:lncRNA from 10 species